rnacentral:Y_RNA from 1 species
GGCUGGUCCGAUGGUAGUGGGUUAUCAGAACUUAUUCACAUUAGUGUCACUAAAGUUGGUAUUCAACCCCCCACUGCUAAAUUUGACUGGCUAAAA